CGUUCGGGUCGGGAGUCGCCGUUUGAACGGAGUGCUUUGUGUAUGAAAUACAGGAAUCGGCGAGCGCUGCGUUAAUGGUGUCCCUGCGUGUGUGUGUGAGGUCGGCAGCCGAGCUGGGGCUGGAGGUGUUGCUGUGGGUCAGAAGGUUGGAGCGCUGUCCCGCGUUCUGCGAGGAAUGGGGCUGCUCGUUGCAAACAGCGCGGAGUCGUGCAAGUGGUAAUGGGGCGUUUUGGAGGCCGGCGUGUGUGGCAGCGCUGCGAUCCGCAGGGCAGGGGCUGGGCUUGGGCUGCGGUCGGGCCAGAGAGCUCCCAGAUCGCAGGGCCACCUAUGGAAUUUUCUCUUGAAAUGUCUUCCAACAUGUGAAAAGAGUUAGGUUAGUAAUACGAUUAACGAUAUCUAAUCAGAUUAAAAUUACCAGCAUAACUCUCUCGAGAAAGGUGAGCGCGGCGGACUGUCAGUGCUGUUCCCUCUGCUUUGUGCCGGGCUGAGGAGGGUCCUCUGAGUGCUGUGCUGGUGGGACCCAACGCACGCAGAGAGGGUCUGUGCUGUGGGAUGGGGCUGCCUGCCAGCAGAGGCGCCUGCCCGGGGGUGCUGCCCGGCUCUGUGCAAUGAGAAAGGAAAGGAACGGAUGCUGCUGCUCCCCGGAGCAGCGCUGGGUGGGGGCACGGCAUGCUUUGUGCUGUGGGGUCACCUGCUGAGGGGACGUUCAGAAGGAGGUGAGGCAGCCCCGGUCCUUCCUGCUUCUCAAAGCAAAGCAUGAGAACUUCAGCUUCUCCGCCUCCCUUGUUCGCCUGGGCACAACGGGAGCAGAGCUGGAGCCUUCCUGUUGCUCUUUGGUGAAGCCCUGCGUUUCAUGCUCAUCUGUCCGUGGCUCCUUUGUCACCUAUUGCAGAAUUACUGAAUAGAUUCAUCUUUUGCUGCUCGUCGGAGCCACAGGGGAGCUGCUUCUGCCUUGGUGGGAGCGUGCCAGCUGGCUCUCGUUGUGCAGGCAGAUCCAUCUUGAGUUCAUCUCCAGGCUGGUCUUCUGCGUGUGAGAGAUGUUGUCCCUUCAGUGUGUUUUGGAAGCUGAGGUGAGGGAAGGAGCCCUGAUCUUCUGGCAGCUGCCAGGGGAAAAGUAAGUAUUACAGAACUUGCUUUCUGAGAGAGCAAUGCAGUUUCUUUGCGAUGAAGACUCACUGUGUGCAUGAGUCAAUUCCCUUCGUUUUUUGUGGGAUGUAAAGGUCACUUUGUCUGCAUCUGAACUAUGACAAAAUCAAUAGUCUAAUCAAUUUCUAAAGUAGAUUUAGUCUAAAUGACUUCUGUUGUGUGCUGUGAGCUUUGAUGUGUGAACGUGUCCCAAAAAGCCACCAGAAC
rnacentral:lncRNA from 1 species